rnacentral:miRNA from 1 species
UUGGAAUUUUGCAGUGUCCACC